rnacentral:rRNA from 1 species
UGGGGAAUAUUGGACAAUGGGCGAAAGCCUGAUCCAGCAAUGCCGCGUGAGUGAUGAAGGCCUUAGGGUUGUAAAGCUCUUUUACCAGGGAUGAUAAUGACAGUACCUGGAGAAUAAGCUCCGGCUAACUCCGUGCCAGCAGCCGCGGUAAUACGGAGGGAGCUAGCGUUGUUCGGAAUCACUGGGCGUAAAGCGUGCGUAGGCGGUGACUCAAGUCAGAGGUGAAAGCCUGGAGCUCAACUCCAGAACUGCCUUUGAAACUAGGUCGCUAGAACAUCGGAGAGGUGAGUGGAAUUCCGAGUGUAGAGGUGAAAUUCGUAGAUAUUCGGAAGAACACCAGUGGCGAAGGCGGCUCACUGGACGAUUGUUGACGCUGAGGCACGAAAGCGUGGGGAGCAAACA